UACGUAGGGGGCGAGCGUUGUCCGGAGUUACUGGGCGUAAAGGGCACGCAGGCGGUCAGGGGCGUGUGCGGGGACAGUGGGCGGCUUAACUGCCCAAGAGUCGCACAAACGGCCUGACUGGAGGGCCAGAGAGGGACCUGGAAUUCCGGGUGGAGCGGUGAAAUGCGUAGAGAUCCGGAGGAACACCAAGGGCGAAGGCAAGGUCCUGGCUGGCAUCUGACGCUCGGGUGCGAAAGCCAGGGGAGCGAACGGG
rnacentral:rRNA from 1 species